rnacentral:rRNA from 1 species
ACUUGAAGAUGCAUGUCUAGCGGCGGAACGGGUGAGUAACGCGUGAGCAACCUGUCCCUUACAGGGGGAUAACACAGCGAAAGUUGUACUAAUACCGCAUGAGACCACGAUGGGACAUCCCCAUAGGGGUCAAAGGAGCAAUCCGGUAAGGGGUGGGCUCGCGUCCGAUUAGAUAGUUGGUGAGGUAACGGCCCACCAAGUCGACGAUCGGUAGCCGACCUGAGAGGGUGAUCGGCCACAUUGGGACUGAGACACGGCCCAAACUCCUACGGGAGGCAGCGAGUGGGGAAUAUUGGGCAAAAUGGGGGAAACCCUGACCCAGCAACGCCGCGUGAGGGAAGAAGGUUUUCGGAUCGUAAACCUCUGUCCUUGGUGAAGAGGAAGAGACGGUAGCCAAGGAGGAAGCCCCGGCUAACUACGUGCCAGCCGCCGC